rnacentral:piRNA from 1 species
UGAGUAAAGGCCGCCUUCCUUGGGG